ensembl:lncRNA
GGUGCGGGGGGGGCCAGAGGCCCCCUUUCCGGAGCCGAGGAAAAACGGGCUUGGCCCGAGCAAGAGGCGGCCGCCUCCGUAGCUGCCGGCCGACGAUUUCCUUCGGCGCCUGGGCCGUUACCGAGAACAGGCUCUGCUGAGCCUAUUGCCGGGCGAAAUCAUAAGCGUGGAGGGGUUGGGGAGCUUCCUGCGGGCCAAACGCGUCUUCUGGCGUUUUCACGUGCUCUGGGUAAAGCCCGAAGCGGGCUGCAGACCCGGGCAACGGCCAAGGGAUCUCCGCGCGCGGUCGUGAAAGGGAAAUCCUGCAGGCAAGUCUCGCGGCGGGGUAGCUGCAGGGAGCAGGUCGGGGCUCGGUGCUGUCAGCACAGCCACGGGGCAGCUGGAAACAGUGGUAAAAUAGCAGCGGUAGAUUAAAACGUGCGAAUGAAACGGCAAGUGGCAGAGCAGUCUCUAAUAACGAGGAAGAAGCAGAGCGGAGCAUGGAUCUCGCCGAGGUGCUGUGCCUGUGGCUCGGCUGUCUGCUGCUGCUGCGCGGCGGGGCNNNNNNNNNNNNNNNNNNNNNNNNNNNNNNNNNNNNNNNNNNNNNNNNNNNNNNNNNNNNNNNNNAGCCGCCUGCACCGCCGUAGGCAGCCCCGUGGCCGACGGCUGCCCCCAGUGCAUCUGCUACGACGAGGAUGAGCUGCCGGUGCCCGCAGGGGCCGUCACCGCCCGGGGCACCCAGAUUUGCACCUGCCCUCCGCAGGGAGGCCAGCUGCAGUGCAGCAGCAGCAAAAGCAAGGAAUGAAUACGCUUUCUGCACCCUUUGCGUUAUUCAAAGGCGGGAGGUUUUCUGCACCUUCGGGCAUCCUCACUGAGCAGCUUUAAAUGUUUCACACUGUCCUGUACAACUUGGUAAUGAUUGCGUACGUGCCACAGAGUGCUAGAGAGAUGCCGCUUCUUAUGUCAUUUAUAAGCCAGGUUAAAACAUUUAUAGCCGGGUGAUCUUUUCUGUUGUAAGGUUUGUUCCAUGGCAGUGGGCAGAGAGGUUAGAUUGAUAGCUGCUAGGAUGCAAACAAAACAAAUGCAGUUAUUAUUUAUUUGUAAGAUGAUUGUACUCUCGUAUGUGUGUUUAUAUAGGAUGUAGAUAGCACUACUUCAAGUCAACUUACCAGAUAAACUUUGCUCCAGGAUCCAGGCUUUAGCUUCUUAGAAAUCCACCAAAUUCCAAGUGAUGGGAGCAAAAUCUUGUACAGUUCGGUUUUUUUUUUCUUUCUUUCCCGCCUUCCAGGCUUUUUUUCUCCUCCUGGCUCCAGACGGACGUUGGGGGGCAGUUCAUCGUUCUUAGAAGGAGGCAAACCGCUCUAGUUUCUCCAUCUGUUGGAGUAAAGUUUUGAAAUGUGAUAUAAAGGAUGUAGCCUUCAAAGCCACCUCGAUGAAGCAGUUACCCAAGCCUGACCCUGUUAGGAGUCACUGCAGAGCCCUGGUGCGGUAGAAAUAUUGUGAGUUGUGUAUCUCCCCCUCACUUGUGCUCUCCUCUUACGAUUAGUGAUGCGACCAAGGAUACAGCAGAACUUCAUCUUCUGAAUGCUUUAAAAGUGUAUAUAUAUAUAUUCACAGGAAGACUGUAAUAAAAAACACAGCUUAAUCA